ACUUUUAUAGUUUAAAUAAAACGGUAGAUUUUCUCUCUACAAAUUUCCAAAAACGGAAUAAAGGUU
rnacentral:tRNA from 1 species